GCUGGGUUGUCCGAGUGGUUAAGGAGGCAGACUUAAGAUCUGCUGGACUCUACGUCCGCGUGGGUUCGAACCCCACACCCAGCA
rnacentral:tRNA from 1 species